CGCUGCCUUGGUGACGCCCGCGGGCACUUUCUGUGCUCUUGAUCUGUUUUCCUAAAUACGUUAAUAAAUGAAAUGAAAGACAGAGAGGCUGGGGAAAAAAAAAAAAAAGAAAAAAGAAAAAAAAAGGACAGAGAAAACGAGCAGAUUUUGAUCUAGUAAGCAAUUUAAAUCUGGGCUGGCAAGCUGCAUUCGUUCAUUCAUUAAUUCAGUCGUGUGCUCAGAAAACCCCAGCAGGACUCCCUUCCAGUGCAAGAACUUCCGACUGUGAAAUAAACCCCGCGUAACCAGAUUAACUAUGAGCACUGGUGGGGAGCUGCCCCUCAUCAGGCAGCCCCUACCCACACCGCGGCAGAGAGGCUUUCUGCAGAGCGACGAGGCGAGCUGUGCUGAUCCGUGCGGCUGGCACGGAGGACGGCAACUGACCACCGCCAACAUGAGUAACGUGACGUGGUGUGAUGCAGUGAGAUAGGACGUGACGUGACGUGACAUGAACAACCAGCAGCUCAGGGACCUGUCUCCCCACCCAUCCUCUGCCUCUCCCUGCCCACCUGCCUGAGGAGAGGAGACAGGCAGGGCCUGGCUUCCCAAAGGGGCAGGACCCCCCCCAUGUCCAUCCAUGCCCCUCUCGCUGCUGCAAGCUAGCAUAUAUUUGGGUUUUAACUUUCGCUAGAAAGCACCCCUCCCCAGGAGAAGGACACACACACUUGAGCCCUCAAGGCUCUUUGAAAAAUCGAUCUUUCCCAAGCUGUACAAGAAGGAUCACUAAAACCUCCAGCCACUGCAUCUCACCGCCACGGUAGUAUUUUUUUUAAGCAAAUCCUCGCCUGACUGACAGAAGACAGAAAAAAAAAAAAAAGAGAGAAAGAAAAAAAGAAAAAAGUUCCUUGGGUGUUAUCCAUUUUGCAUGCACAUAAAAGAUGAACUUCCCUUUGGAAACAAAAUGCGCAGAGUUACGGUUUGAAAGGGGCCUCAAUUUGGCUUCGACCGGGUGCAACUAAUUGCGGCUGCGAGCGGCGGCAGGUGCGAGCAGGCAGCUGAGGCGCCCUCCCCCGCCCCUACCCCCCGCGGAGCCCCGGCCUCCCUGGGGAGGCAGCACGGGGAAACGGAGGCCGGGGGAGACGCCGAGGGGCGAGCGGGGGGUUUGCAGGGCCCGCUCGGCUGCUUUGUGCCUGAGCAUGGCAGGGCCCGAUGGCACCGUCUCCACUGGUGUCAGACGGUUCUGGAAGGCCUCGGAAGGUUCUAGAAGGCCUCCCUGGGCCAGGAGCUGUGGGCUGCUACAAAUGAUGAUCCCCAGGCCAACUUCACUCCAGGUGAAGGCUGCUUUUUAACUGAGAAGUGGUCGGGCACUGGGACAGGCUCCCCGGGGCAGUGGUCGCAGCACCGAGCCUGCCGCAGUUCAGGAAGCAUUUGGACAACGCUCUCACACAACCACAGCCAGGGGAGCGCAAAGCACACUUUGUCACUACCUU
rnacentral:lncRNA from 1 species